rnacentral:rRNA from 1 species
GAUGAACGCUAGCUACAGGCUUAACACAUGCAAGUCGAGGGGAAACGACAUCGAAAGCUUGCUUUUGGUGGGCGUCGACCGGCGCACGGGUGAGUAACGCGUAUCCAACCUGCCCACCACUUGGGGAUAACCUUGCGAAAGUAAGACUAAUACCCAAUGAUAUCCCACGAAGGCAUCGGAAUGGGAUUAAAAGAUUUAUCGGUGACGGAUGGGGAUGCGUCUGAUUAGCUUGUUGGCGGGGUAACGGCCCACCAAGGCAACGAUCAGUAGGGGUUCUGAGAGGAAGGUCCCCCCACAUUGGAACUGAGACACGGUCCAAACUCCUACGGGAGGCAGCAGUGAGGAAUAUUGGUCAAUGGGCGAGAGCCUGAACCAGCCAAGUAGCGUGCAGGACGACGGCCCUAUGGGUUGUAAACUGCUUUUAUAAGGGAAUAAAGUGGGUCUCGUGAGACUUUUUGCAUGUACCUUAUGAAUAAGGACCGGCUAAGUUCCGUG